rnacentral:lncRNA from 1 species
GGCGGUUUGAGGUUGUUCUGAUUGCAAUUGCUUCCCAAGGUACUCCCAGUUGUGAACCAUCAGCUUCUGCACAGCCAGCAGUGCAUUAUAACGAACUUGUUGGUCUUCAUGAUGCAUAUGGUUCAUUACUAGCUGUUUACCACCAAGUUGUUCAAUCACUCGUUUCCCACGGGGAUAGUGCCGCACAUAUUCUCCCACAUCAUGAGCAGCUACAGCAAGCACUUGUGGGUCAUCAGAAACCUCCAGAAGUUUUGUCAGGAUUUUGAGUAGUUCAUAGUUCUUCUCAUUUAAUCUUACAGCAUUCUCC